rnacentral:rRNA from 1 species
CCUACGGGGGGCAGCAGUGGGGAAUAUUGGGCAAUGGGCGCAAGCCUGACCCAGCAACGCCGCGUGAAGGAAGAAGGCUUUCGGGUUGUAAACUUCUUUUCUCAGGGACGAAGAAAGUGACGGUACCUGAGGAAUAAGCCACGGCUAACUACGUGCCAGCAGCCGCGGUAAUACGGAGGUGGCAAGCGUUAUCCGGAUUUAUUGGGGGUAAAGGGCGUGUAGGGGGGGGCGCAAGUCAGAUGUGAAAAGUCAGGGCCCAACCCUGAGCCUGCAUUUGAAACUGUGUUUCUUGAGUGCUGGAGAGGCAAUCGGAAUUCCGUGUGUAGCGGUGAAAUGCGUAGAUAUACGGAGGAACACCAGUGGCGAAGGCGGAUUGCUGGACAGUAACUGACGCUGAGGCGCGAAAGCGUGGGGAGCAAACAGGAUUAGAUACCCUUGUAGUC